rnacentral:rRNA from 1 species
CAUCCUACGGGAGGCAGCAGUGGGGAAUAUUGCACAAUGGGGGAAACCCUGAUGCAGCGACGCCGCGUGAGCGAAGAAGUAUUUCGGUAUGUAAAGCUCUAUCAGCAGGGAAGAAAAUGACGGUACCUGAGUAAGAAGCUCCGGCUAAAUACGUGCCAGCAGCCGCGGUAAUACGUAUGGAGCAAGCGUUAUCCGGAUUUACUGGGCGUAAAGGGAGCGUAGGCGGCCUGCCAAGUCUGAUGUGAAAUACCGGGGCUCACCCCCGGGGCUGCGUUGUAAACUGGCAGGCUGUAGUGCCGGCAAGG